UACGUAGGGGGCGAGCGUUGUCCGGAAUUAUUGGGCGUAAAGAGCUCGUAGGCGGUUUGUCGCGUCGAAUGUGAAAACCCGGGGCUCAACCCCGGGCCUGCAUUCGAUACGGGCAGACUAGAGUUCGGUAGGGGAGUCUGGAAUUCCUGGUGUAGCGGUGAAAUGCGCAGAUAUCAGGAGGAACACCGGUGGCGAAGGCGGGACUCUGGGCCGAUACUGACGCUGAGGAGCGAAAGCGUGGGGAGCGAACAGG
rnacentral:rRNA from 1 species